UACGUAGGGCGCAAGCGUUAUCCGGAAUUAUUGGGCGUAAAGAGCUCGUAGGCGGUUUGUCGCGUCUGCUGUGAAAGACCGGGGCUCAACUCCGGUUCUGCAGUGGGUACGGGCAGACUAGAGUGCAGUAGGGGAGACUGGAAUUCCUGGUGUAGCGGUGAAAUGCGCAGAUAUCAGGAGGAACACCAGCGGCGAAGGCGGCGCUCUGGGCUGGAACUGACGCUGAGGAGCGAAAGCAUGGGGAGCGAACAGG
rnacentral:rRNA from 1 species